UAAGGAUUUAUUAAUUUCAAGAUCUGGCCACUGCAUCAUAAUUUUCCCAAAGCAACCUAAGCGCUACGGACUCUAGAUAGCCAAGUUGGACGAGCUCAGAACCGUAGCUGAGAAUCGUAAUCCCGAUGGAAGCAACGACGUCGAAGGCAUCGACCGGCAGAAAACGUCAACGAGAGCAGGAAUCUUCGCCGGAGACUGAAGCAGCCGACCAAUUUGUAUCACUAGAGGACAAUCUAAUUUUUAGCGACACCUUGGUAGCUCUUCGGAUGAUGCGUUCUCAGUUCCCUCGAAUCGAAAAGGUUUCAAUUCAGCCUUUCAUUUUAAGGUCACAAUUAUACAGCUGCGUCAAGGACAGGACACAAGUGGAUAGGGAAUUAGAGUCUCUGAAAAGGGAAUGCAUUAUACGUGUUUUUAAAUUAAAUACUGGACAAGACGAUCAUGCUGUAAUGUUUGUGGAUGACUACCAAAGUCAGAUUGAGCGUGCUGUCAAACGACUUCAGACCAAGAGGCAAGAUGAUCUGACUGUUUUUGAUUGGUUUAAAACACACGUCAUUCCUUCCAAGCUGGAUCCUAGUAUUGGACAUCAAGAACUUUUUUCACUUCUCUCAUUGGUGGGAAAGGUAAAAGAGGAACACAUCUCUCUUCUGAUUAAUGCUGGCCUUCUUACUCGGCAACUUAUUGAUCCCAACAUGUACUGGUUUGCAAUUCCAAAUAUUGGUUCGGUACUUAAGGGCCUGUCUCAGGGAAGAAAAGAGCUUCUCUCUUUUCUGAACCGCAGGAAGUAUAAGGAGAUGAUGUUGGCUCUUUUGGAGAAGAAACGCCUGCAUCAUUCUCUACUGGAUAUGAGAUUUCAUCUUAGAGAUCUAAUUGGUUCAGGUCACCUCAAAACCAUUCAGACACCCAGUGGUUUGGUUGUUCGAAUUGCUAAGGAUUAAAAGCAGGUUUGUACUGACUUUUGUUAGGGAUGACUCUUCAGAGAAACUUCACAAUACCAUAGGAGUUUUCAUGGUGCUAAACAGUUUGCAAAGGUCAACCUCUCUUUCCUGUUAAAGUUGGUGGUCAUACUCAAUUACUUAGUGGAAGUUGGAUCCUGAUUAUCAUGGUGGCAGUGAAAUUUGUGUGCCCAGAGACCUACCAAAAUUAAAUUAGACAUACUGGCAUAGAUUCAUUGACGACAAUAAUACUUGCAUUCUGGAGAUUGUUUGGGAGUGGUAAAUAAGAUACAGUUCCUUUUUUUUUUUUUUUGGUUUUUUGUUUUGCUGUUGCAUGUGUCUAUUUAAAUGCCUAAGAAUUCCUUGAGAAGACUUUCAUUAUGGGGGAGGAGUUGACAUUAUGGUUUAAGUUUUGAAUCAUCUAAUAAUGUCAUUAUAUUAUAGGGUAUGUUAUGAAAAACUUUUAUGGCUGGUUAUCUUUAAAUAACUGAUUAUCUUUGGGUUCUGGACAUGAAAUUUCAUUUUCUAGAUUAUUUUGAGUAGUUCUGACAGUUGCAUGGUAGAUGUUCAUUUUUAAGGGCCUCUGUUGGCAUAGGCAAUGCUUUGACAUCGCUUUGCCUGUAUGUUCUGGCAUUGUAACGUAGUCUGAACCAUCUAGAGUACUGCACUAUAAAUUAUUGUUGUCUAAUUAUGAACAGUACUGUAUUAGUCCUUGCUAUACAGCAUUACAAUAAGGAUUAACUUUUUAUGCGCUGACAGUAUUGUGAUUUUUUUACACUAGCAGCUUUAAAUGUAUGCCACAUGUGCAUGGUUUGAAUUUCAAAUUUGAAUUCAUGUUAUAUGGCAUGAUCUAAAUGUGCUUGUGUGAAAAAAUCUUUACACUGAUAGUGUAUGGAAAAGUUAUCCUUACAAUAAUUGUUAUUUUGUUUAUAAACGAUACCCUAGUACUACUGGUUCCCAGGAAUGGAUCUGCAGUGAAGCUUAACCUAUUUUACCUAUUCACAAGAGUUGGUGCAGUUGCUUCGGUAGCUGAGCAGUCAAAGAUGGCAUCAUAAGCAUGAAUUCUUGUUGGUUUCAGUAUUUUUCUUAUCUGAAAUUUGUUUUUACCGAACAAGAUUUGUCUUUGUGAAACUCAAUAAUGCAUGGAAUUUUUGGUUUUGAUUGAGCUAUUGUACCAUGAAGAGUUUCAGCUCAAGUAUCAUUGAGUUGGAUGGAGACCUAAACCCUGUAGUAUUUCUUUUCUAUGAGCUAAUAUUUAUUACCUAAUAAUUAUUUAAAGGCAAAGAUUAAAUCAAACAGAGUGGAUCUGAAUUUUUAGCUUAAAUGUAAUGCUCCAUAUUAGCAUGCUUGUCAUACGAAUGCUGAUGGCUGACAAUUGUACUGUUUGCAUUUGUUCAAGUUGAACCUGUGUGUGUAACAAAUCUCUCUAUAAUUCUUGGAACUUUAAUGGGCUGUACUGAUGAUUUUGAAGAUUUAAGGUAGAUUGCAUAGUUUAUAUCUGCAUGUAUAUAUAUAUAUAUAUAUAUAGCCAAAUAGAUUGGGAUCUUGAUGGUGCAAUCCAUCCACAAAAAAAUUCUUUUAAUUGUGGGCCUAGCAUGGUUUGCCUUUUGCUAUGCUUUUGUUGUUUCGUCCUUCUUGUCCUCCUCCCCCAUUUCUUGUUUUUUUAUCAAUUGUUCUGUAGGUUUGUUAGUUCCCUUUUUGAAAGACAUAAAGCAUUUCAAUCAAUUUGAAUGGUGUAACCGGAUUAUGCCUGGUGAAUUUUCCUAGCUUAUGUUCGUGGAUGCAAAUUGGGCUUUAAUUUAGGGCUAGAUGUAGGGAGUGGAUGGGUGGAAGUCGGUGCAAUUUUAUACAUGGUGGUGAUGUUUCACAUCAGGACAUGGGGAACCAAAACUUGCUCAAAAAUAAAAGAUGAUAGGAAAUGUAGACCCAUGUUUGGUUUGAAGUAGCUGUUGGGGGGAGACGGAGAGAAGCAGAUAAACAACAGUACAACAUGGUACAUAGGAUCCUGCCCUGUUUCGAAAUACUACUAUUUGAUUCGUUCAAGGGUUGGGACAUGAGAUCACUUCAGGGGAUAUUCAAUCAUCUGCGGUAGGAAUAUGCUGGGCUUUGCCUGCCCGGUAUAGCCCUCCCUGCUUGUGCCUAACAUCUUUCGAGUGAUGCCACAUAAAGUAAUUCUGCAAAAUUUUGAGGCCCAUUUGGGAUGACGCGAGAUAUGUCAGCAUCCAGUAGGGAAUCCCACGGCUUUGCUUCCGUGUCUCUGCUCACGUGUUUGUCUGUUGAUUUUGUCUGAGAAUGAUUUGUUAAUAGGAAAGACUUUGCCACAAGAACAGUUUGGUAUUAUUUUACAACAAACUUUCAUACUUUAUA